rnacentral:lncRNA from 1 species
AGAUUUGGAUGGAUUAGAGGAUGACAUUGAAAGUAAUUUCGUUUUCCAGUUUUUAAGUUUAUAAUUUGGUUUGUGUCUAUUUGUUAGUUUUUAUGUGCUAAAAACACGAAAAGUGAUAAAACAGGGAGUAUAUGAACCAUAUAUAUAUAUAUAUAUAUAUAUAUGCACAUGUUUGUUUAAUUAUAUGUAUUGAUGCACAUAUUUUUAAUUAAUUUUUUUUUGUAACUAUAGACAUAAACGAUAUAGCUUAUGAUGGCAAUUUCGUAUACAUGACUCAAAUUUAUGUUUAUGUUAGAGUAGAUAAUGAAUAUAAUAAAUAUUUGACUCACCUUGAUUUAAUUAAAUUAGGAGAAAUAUAUAUGUCAGAAUUGGAUGGAGCAAUGUUGCGAGUUCAACUUAAAAAAACAGGAGAAGGGACAUUUACAUGUUUUUAUUAUGAUAAAGAAAUUACCGAAAACAUAGCUAACUAUUUUUUGAUACAAAAGGAAAUAGAUUUUAUUAAAGUUGGAUUUGACUACAGAUAUCCUGGUAAUUUUGUUUUACCAGUUUGUUUAUAUUCUUUUUCGGAGACUGCUCACAUAGUUAUCU